GGGUUGUGAGGUUAAGCGACUAAGCGUACACGGUGGAUGCCCUGGCAGUCAGAGGCGAUGAAGGACGUGCUAAUCUGCGAUAAGCGCCGGUAAGGUGAUAUGAACCGUUAUAACCGGCGAUUUCCGAAUGGGGAAACCCAGUGUGAUUCGUCACACUAUCAUUAACUGAAUCCAUAGGUUAAUGAGGCGAACCGGGGGAACUGAAACAUCUAAGUACCCCGAGGAAAAGAAAUCAACCGAGAUUCCCCCAGUAGCGGCGAGCGAACGGGGAGGAGCCCAGAGCCUGAAUCAGCAUGUGUGUUAGUGGAAGCGUCUGGAAAGGCGCGCGAUACAGGGUGACAGCCCCGUACACAAAAGCGCAUGUGCUGUGAGCUCGAUGAGUAGGGCGGGACACGUGGUAUCCUGUCUGAAUAUGGGGGGACCAUCCUCCAAGGCUAAAUACUCCUGACUGACCGAUAGUGAACCAGUACCGUGAGGGAAAGGCGAAAAGAACCCCGGCGAGGGGAGUGAAAAAGAACCUGAAACCGUGUACGUACAAGCAGUGGGAGCACCCUUUGAGGUGUGACUGCGUACCUUUUGUAUAAUGGGUCAGCGACUUAUAUUCUGUAGCAAGGUUAACCGAAUAGGGGAGCCGUAGGGAAACCGAGUCUUAAC
rnacentral:rRNA from 1 species